rnacentral:misc_RNA from 1 species
GAAACGCGAUAAGUCAUGUGAAUUGCAGAAUUCAGUGAAUCAUCGAAGCUUUGAACGCACUUGGCGCCUUCUAGUAUCCUGGGAGGCGUGCCUGUCCGAGCGUCUUUGCAAGCCUCGAGCCCCCGUGGCCCGGCGUUGGGGAUCUGCCCAGGCAGGCCCCGAAAACCAGUGGCGGACCCGUUACAGGCCCUUCCUUUGCGUAGUAAUACUGCCUCGCAUAGGGAGCCGGCGGGCUUCCAGCCUCUAAACCCCCAUCAAGUCCGCCCCGGCGGCACCAAGGUUGACCUCGGAUCAGGUAGGAAUACCCGCUCAACUUAA